AUUCUGGGACCUUGCUGGGGGCAGACAGCCCUCCCUGCCCGGCAAUGGGCCUUUGGGAUGUGGCACAAGCUCCCGGGAAACCUGGAGUGACAAGGGCGCCUGUCCCUGAGGAGCGGAGUUGGUGCUGAGUCAGCCCUGAUGUGGCAGAGGAGGAGCAGGCCCCUGCAGAACCAGGGCUCUUCAGUGUCUCCAGGUCCUUGGUGAAGUGGAACUGGACCAGGCGCGAGUUCCGGAACAGCGGCACUAGGGUGGUCUGCGGGGAAGCGAGGGGACCCCCAGCUCUGGCUUCUCCCACCACGGCCUCCCGCUCCCAGCCCGCUGAGUCCCUGGGGCCCAGGACCAAACUGAGACUCUCCUGUCCUCCCUACCUCAGGAAACGUCAUCACCGCUCAACCAGCCCAACCCUGGAGUGCUGUGGAAGCCGCUCUCAGAUCCCUUGGCAGCCCCCCAGGUGCAGGUCGUGGCUGCCCCUGCCCUGCUCAGUCCCUGCACAGCCACCAGCU
rnacentral:antisense_RNA from 1 species